UGGGGAAUUUUGGACAAUGGGCGCAAGCCUGAUCCAGCCAUGCCGCGUGCGGGAAGAAGGCCUUCGGGUUGUAAACCGCUUUUGUCGGGGAAGAAAUCUCUCGGGCUAAUACCUUGGGGGGAUGACGGUACCCGAAGAAUAAGCACCGGCUAACUACGUGCCAGCAGCCGCGGUAAUACGUAGGGUGCGAGCGGUAAUCGGAAUUACUGGGCGUAAAGCGUGCGCAGGCGGUCGUGCAAGACAGAUGUGAAAUCCCCGGGCUCAACCUAGGAACUGCAUUUGAGACUGCACGGCUAGAGUACGGCAGAGGGGGAUGGAAUUCCGCGUGUAGCAGUGAAAUGCGUAGAUAUGCGGAGGAACACCGGUGGCGAAGGCGGUCCCCUGGGCCUGUACUGACGCUCAUGCACGAAAGCGUGGGGAGCAAACA
rnacentral:rRNA from 1 species